AAUUUCAGCUGAAAAAGUCAUGAACAUAAAAGUUGUAGAGCUCAUCAAGACAUACAACUUUUAUUUUGGUCAUUUCUUCAUCCGAUAAAGUGAUAGUAAUAUUGUUUACAAAGUUUACAUAUCUCUCUUAUAGUUUAUAGAACCAAAUGAGACAAAUGUAAAUUUUGUAAACAAUGUUACUAUCACUUCGUCGGAUGAAGAAACGACCAAAAUAAAAGUUAUAGAUCUUGAUGAGUUAUACAACUUCGUUGUUGAUGACUUUUUCAAUUGAAAUC
rnacentral:pre_miRNA from 1 species